rnacentral:rRNA from 1 species
UACAGAGGUCGUCAAGCGUUUGUUCGGAUUCAUUGGGCGUAAAGGGGUGCGUAGGCGGCGCGGUAAGUCGGGUGUGAAAUCUCGGAGCUUAACUCCGAAACUGCAUUCGAUACUGCCGUGCUUGAGGACUGGAGAGGAGACUGGAAUUUACGGUGUAGCUGGUGAAAUGCGUAGAUAUCGUGAAGGAAGACCAGUGGCGAAGGCGGGU